GUAAGUUUAUAUCCUUUAACUGCAAAGGUUUCACCAGAUCUAUUGAGUGCGUUAAAUCACUAUGUGAAUCAGCUGAUAUCAUCGCACUUUCUGAGACAUGGUUGCUACAGCACGAUAUACCGCUUUUGGGAACCGCUGACGCUGGGUUCGGCUACUGCGGCACCACGGCUGUUGACUUAUCGGCAGGAGUUCUACGUGGCCGCCCUCAUGGGGGUGUUGCGAUCAUAUCUAUGAUAAUUUUCUCAGUUUACAUGCCGACUGACGAACGUGAGAACCUUGUAGAGUUUACGGAAUGUUUAGGAGAAAUAUAUGCGAUUAUAGAGAGUGAACAAGUGGAUCUCAUAUACGUGUUGGGCGAUUUUAAUGCGCAUCCCGGUAUGCCCUUCUAUAGUGAACUGAGCAAUUUCUGUAGUGAACAACAACUGUGCAUAGUGGACUCUGAACUGUUGCCGGCGGACUCGUAUACUUAUGUCAGCGAUAGUCACGGGUGUGCGAGGUGGCUUGACCACUGUGUAACUACAAAUGCGGCUAGACUAACAGUUACUGACGUCAAGAUACACUACGACGUGUUUUGGUCAGAUCACUUACCGCUGGAACUAGUAUGUAAUUUAAGUAAAAUUAUAGCUAAAGAUAAUGUUCAAACUGGAAUUCUGGAAAAUGAUAAUCUGAGGGGUAUCAUAUGGGGUGAAAGGGAGCUGCCUCAGAUAAACGAGUAUCGAAACAUGUGUAACGGUAAAUUAAAAUAUAUUGAUUUUCCUAAGGAGCUAGAACAAUGUUGUGAUAAUGUUUGUAAUAAUGCUGAUCAUAGGAUAAUAAUAAAUAACAUGUAUGAGUCUAUUAUAGUGAUACUUAAAGAGGCUUCAGCUGCCAGUUAUAAUAAAAGACAUCACAGAGCAGGUCGUAUCACAGGCUGGAAUAAACAUGUCAGGGGGGCUCACCAGAGGGCGAGAGUAUGUUUUCAGGAAUGGUGCAGGUCCGGUAAGCCUAAGUCAGGCCGGCUGUAUGAAGAGAUGUGCCGUUCUAGAAAACUUUUCAAAGCUAAACUUAAGUUUUGUCAAAAUAAGAAAGACCAGAUUAAGAUGGAUAUUAUUGCCUCACAUCAUAAAUCUAAAAACUUUGUACAGUUUUGGAAAUCGACAAACAGGAUGAACCCUAAAGUGAGCCUUCCAGUAAGUGUUGACAAUGUUAGUGCGCCGAGUGAUAUCGCAGAUCUCUUUAGGAAUCAGUUCAAAGUGGAACCUCUGAAGGUGGAUGGGCGGCUGCCGGUGCUCGGUGCUGGGACUAGUGUGGAUGGUACCUUAAUCAGAAUUACACCAGCGGAAAUAUCCAAGGUUGUACGACAAAUGACGAAAGGUAAGUCACCCGGACACGAUGGUCUUAGCAUCGAGCAUCUGCAACAUGCGGGUGCUCAUCUUCCCAGGGUUCUUGCGAUGUUCUACACAUUUUGUAUUCGCCAUAACUAUUUACCUGAAGACCUCAUGAAGACCAUUGUGGUCCCCGUUAUAAAAAAUAAGACUGGUGAUGCCUCCGACAAGUCCAACUAUAGACCAAUCUCGUUGGCAACUAUACUGGCGAAGGUAUUGGACAGUGUGCUUAACACGUAUCUGAAUAGACAUAUUAACCUACAUGACGCCCAGUUCGGUUUUCGACCCGGACUUUCAACUGAAUCGGCUAUACUAUGUCUUAAGCAUACUGUUCAAUAUUACACUAAGCGGAACACGCCAGUUUUUGCAUGUUUUUUGGACUUGUCGAAGGCAUUUGACCUAGUAUCUUACAAGUUGUUAUGGCACAAGUUACGCAAUGGGACUAGUUUACCAGAUGAGGUAAUAAAUAUGUUUGAGUUUUGGUAUGACCAUCAAAUAAAUAUUGUGAGAUGGGCGGGGGGAUACUCAGACCCUUAUAAAAUGAAGUGUGGUGUGAGACAGGCUGGGUUAACGUCACCCACACUUUUUAAUCUCUAUGUUAAUGGGUUGAUUGAGGAGCUCAGCAGUGCUGGUGUAGGUUGUUCGGUGGACGGCUGUUUUGUUAAUAAUAUUAGCUAUGCCGACGAUAUGGUGCUGCUGAGCCCCUCAAUAAACGCUUUAAAAAUCCUGUUGGAUAUAUGUGAGAGAUAUGUUGUGGCCCAUGGGCUCAAAUAUAAUGUCAAGAAAAGUGAGAUCUUAGUCUUUAAAUCUGGUACUAAAACAUAUUCCAUACCACCUAUUAGUCUAGACGGUUCUCCUCUUCAGACUGUUACAAAAUUUAAAUAUUUGGGCCAUUGGGUCACAGACACUCUGAAAGAUGAU